UUAAACAUUUCUUAUGAUGCCUUUGUAAAAACAUUUUAUUACAACUGUAUUUGCAAUCCUCUGUAUUUUGUGUUUCUUUUUUGUUCCAUGUCUUCAGUUCUGAAAAUAAAGUUAUAAAAACUAACUAAAUAAACAAAUGACUCAAUGGGCUACCCGAUCACCCAGCUGCCGCAAAUCGUGUUAAAACUGUCAACCAGCGCCGAGUAAUAAAGUUUUUUUUAAAAAAAGUUCGCGCAGAAAGGAAGUCCCGCAAUACAUAUGCGCGUGAUUAGGGCGUGGUUAGGGAAAGGGGAUCGGGUACUUGUCGCUGCAUGUUCAGUUUGCGGAAGCCAAACGGUUGCACCGCUCACCCCGCAUGCGCGAACCAUACGUCACUGACAGUGACAAGCCCCUCCCCCGGCCCCGGUAUCUGUGCAGAGCCGAGUCCGCCUAGGUCAUCUCAAACACAAUAAUAUGUUUUUUUUUUAAUUCAAACACAAUGUCAGUACAACAUUUAGUGCAACACUCAAGAACAUUUCAAAGACAAACAAACAAAACAGAAUGAUCAAUAUAAUUUAUAUGGUAAUAAAAAGAUUGUGUUCCAUUUAUUUCUGUCUAAAUAUGGCCAUCUAUGUUUGCAUUCAAGGUUUGAAUAAUAACUCACUGGACUCUAAUAAACUUGUUUGUGGACUUCUUAACAACCAGAUCAAUUCCCUGAACUAAAAUCAAUAUUUGAGUUAAAUUGAAGUCUUCAUAUUUUACCUUUUUUGCUAUUAAAUAUAUAUUAUGUGGAAUCAAGCCAUUAACCAAAUUCUUUCUGAGGUAUAACAACAUUGUAUUUGCGUAAAAAACUUUCACAGGUGCCGAUUUCCUCUAUCAUCAAAUAGCUGAUUUACUGUAAUCAUUUUAUUGGCACACCAGUUUUGUAGAAAUAAACUUUUGUUUUUGUGUAACAAUUGUUCCACAAAAUGCAAUUGUGAGGAGAAAAGUUGUGUUUGAACAUAACAGUCCAGCAUAACAGAGCUUGUUGGUGAAAAUUGUCCAAUCUAACAGGAGUUUUCUGACACAAAAUGGACAUUUCAGUAAAAAAAAAUUAGACCUCGUAAAUUACUAAAUAAAUAGUUUGGGACAAUAUUCCAUAAACUAUUGGGAUUCUCAAGAGAUCCACUUAAUUUUCAAAACCUGAUUGAAAACAGUAAAAGUCAAAACCUCUAAUCCCCCAUCAGCUGAAGAGUUUGACAGGACGUUUUUCUGAACUUUAUGGGUUUUGUUUUUCCACAGAAAACUAAACAGAAUUUGAUCCAGAUCAGAACACGGAGUUUUAGUGACAUCUAGUGGCGAGAAAACAUAUGACGCUCUGGACAUCCUUCUGCUUUAGUUAGAAGUACUCGACCAUGAAUGGACAAAUCUCUAGUUAACCAGCUGUUAAACUUCUUUCUAAUAGUUUCAGUAACAGGGCUAAAGUUAUCCUCCAUAUUUUUACCUUCUUGAUAAGUAACAGUUUUUUUCUCACAGGAAUACCACAAACUUCCUCAUCAGUAACAUUAUUUACAGGUCAAAUUUCACAUUUUUUUAAAUUAGGUUUUAAUCCAGAAAUGCUUGAAAAGAGAGAAACAGCAGAUAAAACCUCAAGGAUUUCGCUGACAUUAUUUUAAAAAUCGUGGCAUCAUCUGCAGAUUUUUAAUUUUUUUUUUUUUUUUAAUUUAUUGGGUCUCCUCUCCUUACUAGUAAGAUUUAAUUUGAUAUAGAUGGAUUUAUGAUCAGUCAGUAUGGCUGGAAAAAUGUUUACAUCUGUCACUUUUCUUUCCAAUUCUUUGGAAAUCAACAAAAAAAAAAUCAAUUUCAAUGUUUUAAUCUCCAGAUAUCAGAUACAUUCAAGCGGCUUGAAAAGUCAGUCAGAUAAUGAUUUGAAGAAGAAUAAGACAAAAGGACCAAUCAUGCCAGUCAGGGUGCUAACGUACGGGCACACCCGUAUACGCUUACACAGGCAUGUCCGUCCGUCUCUGCAGUCUAACCCAGUCAGUCUAACCCAGUCGCAAGCUCCUGAGCCACUAACCACAGCGCCUAUACCCACUGCAGGCGGCUCCCUGACAGCACAACUGAUCCCAGUACGCGCGAAGUCGCUCAGAGGUAUAUAUACCCUGCAUAUGGUAGUACGUUCCAAACAUGAGGUUUUAACGCUAAUAUUUUUUUUUUAUCGCUGCAAUGUGUUGGAAAAUUUGAAUUACACACUAUAUGCUACUUAUAAAUGAAAUAUGACGACAAAAAAUAUAUUUUUACUUUUACAAAGAUACAGUUUCGGCCGCAGUGCAUGUUGGGAGGCGUGAAGCAUGCCCGCUGGACUGCGGUUAGACCCCUUCCUGCCGUCACAUGGAGGUAGAUUGAUAGACGCGUCAUUCACGGAUCCGGGGGUAACCAGCGGCGCCGCCAUGUAGCAGGAGUCAAGCUAAGCUAGCUCUACGUGCUAAAGUAGCAAUAGUCGACGGAGAACCGGAACCAUGCCGGUUGUUUGUUUUGCCUUCGGAUACAACCGGAAAUCUUUAGGUAGCGGAUCACGUGGAAUGACCUUUGACGAAGCAGAGCUUCCACCUGCUUCACCAGAAGAACAGAGAUGUCCUCAGAGGACAGUGAAGGUCAGAGCAGCAGAUCAUGUGAUGCAUCAGAACUACAGAGAAACGUGUCAGUCUGUUUGUUCAAGCUGAAACUGGUCAGAAAUGUGUUUUUACUCAGGAAGUAGAUUACAGAGUUCAGGAUGAACGGCCGAUAUUUGAGGUCUUAAUGUUUAUGUUCCAUAAAAUCCAGCUGCACCACACGGGCGACCCUGAAGCUUCAGAGUGCUGUCACAUGCAAGAGGUUGUGCACAAAAUGUUAUUUUGUCAUUUUACUGGAAAAUGUUUAUUUUACUAAUUAGUAUCAAUCCCUGUAGGAAACCUUCAGGUCAGAGGUCGUGUGGAUUUUUCCAGCUUGGAGCAGACAGACAGCUCAAGCUGACCACUACCUGCUUUGUUACCAGGAGAAUCUUUGACCCUGUUUGGAGAACUGGAAGAGACCUUCAGUUCUUUUCUCAGCAGAUGUCAGGCAGCUGCUGCAGCAUUUCAUGCUGAUCUCUCUGCAUCAGCACCUCGUCUGAAAUGACAUUCAGUGGAGUAAGUUUCCUCAGAAAGUUCCACCAAAACACCAGUGCCAGUCUUCAGAUUCUAUUUUCUUUCCUUAGAGCUGUUUAUACUUCAUCACAUCCGUCUCAUCCACAAUCACACGCUUUAGUUCAGACUAAUGUCGGCUGGUUUUGCUUGUGACUGUCCAAAAAACCUGCCAUGAACUUCUGAGAGGUGUUUAUGUUUUUCUAGUACUGCGAUCGUCUCCAGCGUUUAUAUUUUAAUCUGAAAAACUUACUGUGUUUGUGAAUGCGCAGACUCAUGAAAGGUGGAGGGGACGUGAUGUGCUCCUCCACUAAAUAGAGUUGGACAAUAGAAAAGGUGAAAAAUAAAAUUAAAAUUAAAAAGGGGCAAGUUUCAUUCUGGAGUGCUGCCAAAUCUAAAAUACAAGAAAUGUCUUUCCAGUAACUUGUUUUUCUAUCUCGUUGUCCGCUCACACACAGACAUAUUUCCAGCGCUUGGGUCCUUCUGGCAUCAUGAAACCAUGACAACGACUUCAACAUGGACGGAGAUUCAGUUUCUGGACAGAAGAGGCAUUGCUGCUUCUGCAGGAACUCUGCAGCUGAUCUUCAGGUUCCAGAGAUGACCACCUCCACACCUGAAGUCCAGUCAGACAGGUGAGAGGGGGGGCAACAAUUACAACAUUAGUAGAAUGUGAUUGUGAUCACACAAUGUUAAAGGGUUAGUAAUGCCCUGGGACAAAGCUAAAAUAAGUAUCCAGAUAUAUUCCAUAUGUUCUAAUGUAUCAAAAAUAACAAAUAAUUACCGUUGA